GCCGUUGUGUCCGAGUGGUUAAGGAGUUUGACUCGAAAUCAAAUGGGUUCUCCCGCACAGGUUCGAAUCCUGUCGACGGCG
rnacentral:tRNA from 2 species